ACGCACUGGAAGCACGGCGGUAUUGUGGGUGUGUUCGGAUACGGCGGCGGCGUUAUCGGUCGUUAUUCCGACCUGCCGGAAAAAUUCCCCUCCAUCGCUCAUUUCCACACCAUUCGCGUGAACCAGCCGGCCAGUAAGUUUUACAAUACCGACUUCCUGAGAACCAUCUGCGACCUGUGGGAAUACCGGGGCAGCGGCAUGAUGAACCUGCACGGCUCCACCGGCGACCUGGUAUUGCUUGGCACCACCACCGAGCAGCUUGAACCCAUUUUCUUUGAACUGACCAACGAACUGGAUCAGGACCUGGGCGGCUCCGGCUCGAACCUGCGCACGCCUUCCUGCUGCAUCGGCAAGGCACGUUGCGAAUUUGCCUGCUAUGACACCCAGGCCCUGAGCUAUGAACUGACCACUUAUUACCUGGACGAAUUGCACCGCCCGGCGUUCCCCUACAAGUUCAAGUUCAAGUUCGACGGCUGCCCCAACGGCUGUGUGGCCUCCAUCGCCCGUGCCGACAUGUCCUUCAUCGGCACCUGGAGAGACGAAAUCCGCAUUGACCAGGACGCAGUUCAAGGCUAUAUCGCCGGUGACUUCGCUCCCAACGGUGGCGCUUUUGCCGGUGGGAACUGGGGUAAAUUCGAUAUUCAAAAAGAAGUUAUCGACCUGUGCCCCUCCAAGUGCAUGAAAUAUGAAGACGGCGUGCUGACCAUCGACAACAGCGAAUGUGUCCGUUGCAUGCACUGCAUCAACACCAUGCCCAGGGCUUUGAAACCGGGUAAAGAUACCGGUAUCAGCAUUCUGUGCGGCGCCAAGGCUCCCAUC
rnacentral:rRNA from 1 species